rnacentral:lncRNA from 1 species
GCACAGCACAGAGUCAGCCCGUGGCCUUCCCACCCAGCACGGAGCCUGCCUUCAUCACCGUGCCCCAGAGGGGCUUCGGAGAGCCCUUUGUGCUGAACCCUGGCACCUGGGCCCUGCGUGUGGAGGCCGAAGGGGUGCUCCUGGACUACGUGGUUCUGCUGCCUAGCGCAUACUACGAGGCGGCGCUCCUGCAGCUGCGGGUGACUGAGGCCUGCACAUACCGUCCCUCUGCCCAGCAGUCUGGCGACAACUGCCUCCUCUACACACACCUCCCCCUGGAUGGCUUCCCCUCGGCCGCCGGGCUGGAGGCCCUGUGUCGCCAGGACAACAGCCUGCCCCGGCCCUGCCCCACGGAGCAGCUCAGCCCGUCGCACCCGCCACUGAUCACCUGCACGGGCAGUGAUGUGGACGUCCAGCUUCAAGUGGCAGUGCCACAGCCAGGCCGCUAUGCCCUAGUGGUGGAGUACGCCAAUGAGGAUGCCCGCCAGGAGGUGGGCGUGGCCGUGCACACCCCACAGCGGGCCCCCCAGCAGGGGCUGCUCUCCCUGCACCCCUGCCUGUACAGCACCCUGUGCCGGGGCACUGCCCGGGAUACCCAGGACCACCUGGCUGUCUUCCACCUGGACUCGGAGGCCAGCGUGAGGCUCACAGCCGAACAGGCACGCUUCUUCCUGCCGCGUCUCCCACCGUUGUGUCAGCGGAUAAGUUGCCGUGUUCCGAGACACCAACCUCACAUGGCCGCACGGAAAGGGAGCACCCAUUUGCG